GACGAACGCUGGCGGCGUGCUUAACACAUGCAAGUCGAACGCUGAAGCUCAGCUUUUGUUGGGUGGAUGAGUGGCGAACGGGUGAGUAACACGUGAGUAACCUGCCCCCUUCUUUGGGAUAACGCCCGGAAACGGGUGCUAAUACUGUAUAUUCACUGGUCUUCGCAUGGGGGUUGGUGGAAAGGGUUUUUCUGGUGGGGGAUGGGCUCGCGGCCUAUCAGCUUGUUGGUGGGGUGAUGGGCUACCAAGGCUUUGACGGGUAGCCGGCCUGAGGGGGUGACCGGUAACAUUGGGACGGAGAUGCGGCCCAGACUCCUACGGGAGGCAGAAGUGGGGAAUAUGGCACAAUGGGCGCAAGCCUGAUGCAGCGACGCCGCGUGAGGGAUGGAGGCCUUCGGGUUGUGAACCUCUUUCGCUCAUGGUCAAGCCGCAACAAUGGUUGUGGUGAGGGUAGUGGGUAAAGAAGCGCCGGCUAACUACGUG
rnacentral:rRNA from 1 species